rnacentral:tRNA from 1 species
GCCGGUGUGGCGGAGCGGUCAAACGCGGUGGUCUCGAAAACCAUUGCCUUAACGGGCACGCAGGUUCAAAUCCUGUCGCCGGCG